rnacentral:tRNA from 1 species
GGCUGGAGAGAUGGCUCAGCGGUUAAGAGCAUUAAUUGCUCUUCAGAAGGUCCUGAGUUCAAAUCCCAGCAGCCA